CGCUGAGAUUCCGGGCCCGGCGGCCGCGGGGAGCGGGUGUCCGUGAGGAGCCGGGCAGCCGGCCUCCUCUCUUUGCCUUUUGGGGGUUCUUUUUGUAAUAGCAGCAGCAUGGAUUCACCAGCCUGAUUUGCUGCUUCUUCCUGCAUCCAGCCUGCUCCUGGGUCUCCUUCCCCACCUCACAGCCAUGGCAACCAAAUGCACGGGCUUGUGAAGACCAGCAGCCCAACUUCAGCAAGGUCUCGCUGGCCUGGACAGAAGAGCCAAGAUGAAUUACCAUGUGCAUGGAGAGAAGCCAUGGCCCAAGGAUGGGAAUUGCAGAUCUGGAGGCUGAAGCCCCACAUUGGCAUCCUGGCUCUACUCCCACUGGUUCUGUCACCCUGGGCAAGGCACUUCUCCCAAGCUGCAGUUCUGCCAACUGAGAAGCAGAGACAAUGACACUUGUUCCGCUCACCUUGCAGGGUUGUUGUGAGAAGGAAAUAAAGUAUUUGGAAG
rnacentral:lncRNA from 10 species